GGGCAGGCCGCAGUUAGGCCCGGAAAGGUGCUCGGAUGCUCUAAGUGGCGGUGGAGGCGCGUUCGUGCUUUGGAUUGCAUGCUGUCUCAUGUUGCUGGUGAAGCAAAACCAUGUGUUCAUACACUUUAUGAAGUAGUUGCCCUCUAUCUUUGACAGCUGAAGAGCUAUAAAGAAGAUAAAAUUGUGUGUUACACAGUACAACAGCAGGUUAUUCCAAUUACAGCCGUAAUGGAUGUGCAAGAUUAAAUUAGACUCAAGCAUAAUUUAAAAGGACAGGUAAGAAUGUAGCUUUAAAGGGUUUCUUAUAGAAAUGACUAAAU